rnacentral:tRNA from 1 species
GCACUUGUAGCCCAGUGGUUAGGGCACUGGCCACAUACACCAGGGCUGGUGGUUCAAACCCAGCCUGGACCA